UUUUGAUUGAAACUGAAUCCCUCCUCUCUUGAUUGCUCCCUCGGACGUCCCAUUCGAUUCAUCCCUCCAAAUCCCAAGUCCCUCUCUGCUCUCUCGAACCCUAAGUCCCUCUCUGCUUCUCUCUCGUUUCCCUCCCUCCUCGCACUACCCUCCCUCUCGCUUCAUCCCUCAGAAGUUGUUAAACCAUCUUGUUUGGUUUGCUUCUCUCUUGAUUCCUCCCUCAAAACUCCCUCUCAAUUCAUCCCUUAGAACUCCAAACCCUAAAUCCCUCAUCUCUGCUUCUCUCUUGUUUCCCUCCUCGCCAAAAACUUUUUAUCCCUAUUUCUCUCUUCCCUCUAGAUUGGCCCGACAUUCCAUCUCUCCCCCCCCCCCCCCUUUUUUUUUCAUUUUUUUCAGUUCCCUUGCUGCUAGGGUUUUCCCAGGGUUGUUGAACAAUCUGUUGGUAUGGAUUCGAGUUUCCCUCCCUCUUUGCUUCUCUCUUGAUUCAUCCCUUAGAAGUGAAAACCCUAAAUUCAUUUCUCUGUUCGCUCUAGUUUGGCCCGAGAUUCCAUCUCUCCCCUAAAUCCCUAAUUUUUUCAUUAACUUUCAGUUCCCUUGCUACAUUUUCCCAAGGUUGUUGGAGUGCUCUCGUUGGGGUUAUCUUAGGAAUGUGGGGAAGGAACAAUCAAUUUCUCAGAGAAAAUCGAUACUGCUGUGGAUUUCUGCCCCAAUUUUUCACAUAAAGGAAAUGAGUUUUGCUUCUCAUUCCGGGUCAAGCUUGGAGAGACCACUUUGCUAUUGUGACUCCCAAGUGAAACUACGGAUUUCUGGAAAAGCAAAAUCUUUUGGUAGAAGAUUUUUCAAUUGUCCAAACUAUAAGAUGAAUAAACAAUGUGACUUUUUUGAGUGGAUUGAUCUUCAAAGUGAGCAAAAUAGUUGCUAUAAGAUGACGUUAGAAUUAGCUGAACGGAGGCACGAAAUGGUAUUUCAUGAGCGGCUGCGCAUGGAAGAAUCCAAAUAUAAGACAUUGGAGAAGAAGUACAAGGGAGCUUUGAAAGUAUUAACUGUCUCAUGGUUUUUUUUGUUUUUUUUUGUAGUAGUUUGUGGUGUAUUUUUGACGUAUCCAAGUGGUUAUAAUGUCUCUCGGCUAAUGCUACGACUCAUGUAACCCAACCCCUUUUGAUGUAUUUAUCCACUUUGAUCGGUUAAUGUACUAGAUGUGUCAUAUGUACUUUCUUCAUCCUGGGACUUUUGUAUGUAUUUGAAAUUUGCUGCCAAUUUCCUUGGACUUUAACCACUUUUGUAUGUAUAUAGACCACUGUGUCUAUAUUUACUAAUGA